UACAGAGGGUGCAAGCGUUAAUCGGAAUUACUGGGCGUAAAGGGUGCGUAGGUGGUUUGAUAAGUUAGGUGUGAAAGUCCUGGGCUUAACCUGGGGACUGCGCUUAAUACUGUCGAGCUAGAGUACUGUAGAGGAAGGUGGAAUUUCCGGUGUAGCGGUGAAAUGCGUAGAUAUCGGAAGGAACAUCAGUGGCGAAGGCGACUUUCUGGACAGAUACUGACACUGAGGCACGAAAGCAUGGGUAGCAAACAGG
rnacentral:rRNA from 1 species